UAGGGAAUCUUCCACAAUGGACGAAAGUCUGAUGGAGCAACGCCGCGUGAGCGAAGAAGGUUUUCGGAUCGUAAAGCUCUGUUGUUGGUGAAGAAGGAUAGAGGCAGUAACUAGUCUUUAUUUGACGGUAAUCAACCAGAAAGUCACGGCUAACUACGUGCCAG
rnacentral:rRNA from 1 species